rnacentral:rRNA from 1 species
GAGUUUGAUCAUGGCUCAGGAUUAACGCUAGCGGCAGGCCUAAUACAUGCAAGUCGAACGGUAACAGGUGUAGCAAUGCAUGCUGACGAGUGGCGCACGGGUGCGUAACGCGUAUGCAACCUACCUAUAACUGGGGAAUAGCCUUCUGAAAGGAAGAUUAACACCGCAUAACAUCAUGAAACGGCAUCGUUUUAUGAUCAAAUCUCCGGAGGUUAUAGAUGGGCAUGCGUGACAUUAGCUAGUUGGUGAGGUAACGGCUCACCAAGGCUACGAUGUCUAGGGGGUCUGAGAGGAUGAUCCCCCACACUGGUACUGAGACACGGACCAGACUCCUACGGGAGGCAGCAGUAAGGAAUAUUGGACAAUGGGCGCAAGCCUGAUCCAGCCAUGCCGCGUGAAGGAUGACGGCCCUCUGGGUUGUAAACUUCUUUUAUAUGGGAAUAAACCCCUGGUUUCUACCGGGGCUGAAUGUACCGUAAGAAUAAGGAU